rnacentral:rRNA from 1 species
CGCGUAGGUGGUUAAUUAAGUUGGAUGUGAAAGCCCUGGGCUUAACCUGGGAACUGCAUCCGAUACUGGUUGACUAGAGUACAGUAGAGGGAAGUGGAAUUUCCGGUGUAGCGGUGAAAUGCGUAGAGAUCGGAAGGAACAUCAGUGGCGAAGGCGACUUCCUGGACUGAUACUGACACUGAGGUGCGAAAGCGUGGGUAGCAAACA